rnacentral:rRNA from 1 species
AGCGAACGCUGGCGGCAGGCCUAACACAUGCAAGUCGAACGAACCUUUCGGGGUUAGUGGCGGACGGGUGAGUAACACGUGGGAACGUGCCUUUAGGUUCGGAAUAACUCAGGGAAACUUGUGCUAAUACCGAAUGUGCCCUUCGGGGGAAAGAUUAAUCGCCUUUAGAGCGGCCCGCGUCUGAUUAGCUAGUUGGUUGAGGGAAUGGCUCACCAAGGCGACGAUCAGUAGCUGGUCUGAGAGGAUGAUCAGCCACAUUGGGACUGAGACACGGCCCAACCUCCUACGGGAGGCAGCAGUGGGGAAUCUUGCGCAAUGGGCGAAAGCCUGACGCAGCCAUGCCGCGUGAAUGAUGAAGGUCUUAGGAUUGUAAAAUUCUUUCACCGGGGACGAUAAUGACGGUACCCGGAGAAGAAGCCCCGGCUAACUUCGUG